rnacentral:rRNA from 1 species
AGGUGUGGUAACCGCAACGGAGCUAGCCUACCACGGUAAGAUCAGUAACGUGGGCG